CAAUCUUUGACGCAAAUUGCGCUCUUGGGUAGCCCUAGGAGCACGCCUCUCUCAGUAUCGGUUCAACAACCUCUCAGCAGCGUAUGCAAAUACGUGUUGGCUGGAUAAUGAGAGUCUAGUCCUCACAGACUAGUCUCUUGAAAUACAUUGAGUGAGCAUCACAAUUUACACUUUCUUUAAUGAAAAGCUAGUCUCUGACUGGUUGUGUAUGAGUGACGUGAAUACUGAGCCUUGUGCUCUAUCGUUUACGUGUAACUUAUGCAUAGCUAUUAAGGUCUAGGAUCGGCGUGUAAAUGAAUGUUCAUGUAACGCGGCGCAAGCUGCAAUCGAUUUCAAGCAAUUGAAGUCUGUAUAUUGAUCUGAGAUGAAGCGAGACAACCCCCUGAAUUUAAGCAUAUUAAUAAGGGGAGGAAAAGAAACUAACAAGGAUUCCCCUAGUAACGGCGAGUGAAGCGGGAAGAGCUCAAUUUGAAAAUCGACUACCUAAGCGGGUCGUCGAGUUGUAGCCUAGAGACGUACUAUCAGCUGAAACCUGGGUAUAAGUUCUUUGGAAUGAGGCAUCAUAGAGGGUGAGAAUCCCGUAUAUGACCCAAAGCUUUCAGCGUACGAUGUAUGUUCAUCGAGUCGAGUUGUUUGGGAUUGCAGCUCUAAAUGGGUGGUAAGUUUCAUCUAAAGCUAAAUAAUGGCGAGAGACG
rnacentral:rRNA from 1 species